rnacentral:tRNA from 1 species
GUUAAUGUAGCUUAAUAAAAAGCAAAG